rfam:Clostridium ventriculi strain 2789STDY5834858 genome assembly, contig: SCcontig000002
UAUUAAUAUAAUGCAAAAAUUCGUAUAUAAUCGAUAAUAUGGUUCGAAAGUUUCUACCUGCUAACCUUAAAUAUGCAGACUACGAGAAUUGCGUAAUAUAAU